ACUGAUAAUGAGUGAAUGUUCAUGUGAUCUGUUACACAACACUAAGCUCUUAUUUCACUGUCUGCAGUUAUGUUCAGCCUUCAAACUCCUCUUGGUUGGAGAUGGGAAAAGGGGAUGGAAGCCAAAUGGACAGAUUCAGAGGAGAGGGUAAAGAGACCAGCUAGAAGCCUACAGGGAUCUUUCUCCCAGAAUGAGUGAGGCUUAAAAAAAAAUUUAAAAAAAGAUAUGUUUUGUGGAGAUGGUGUCUCCAAAUGCCCUCAUGAAGUCAGUUUUCCAGCUGAAAGCAUCAUGCAUGGAGAAAUUGAAGGAGCUCCAGAAACUGUUGAGCGGCCAGAAGUGUUUCAGGUGUUCCCUGCUCUCCAGAACACACCUAUACAAGCUGUCCAAGCGGCCGGUACAGUUCAAGGGAGUGUUGCCAGCAGUACAGGUUCAAUGCAUACAUACACAACAUUAACGGUGUGCAUUCUGCUUCCCACAGCUGCACAGCUCUCAUACGAGAGCAGAAAGCUGAAGCGAGCAGCCCAGGCUGGUGCUGCAGGAUGA
rnacentral:lncRNA from 1 species